CUCCUCUUCUCCAGGCUGUGAACCUCCUCCAGUUGCUGAGUCCUGCAGGGGAUGGUGGCUUGGACUGGAUGGAUCUCGUGCUGAAAACCAGGCUGAUGGUGGUGCUUCACGUUCGACCCUGCCACUCCAUUUCUGCUGUGGGACAGAGGUGAGAUUCCAUCAAGACCAC